rnacentral:rRNA from 1 species
AACGACCCCAGAGGGUUUCCGGCCACACUGGGACUGACACACGCCGACAGACUCCUACGGGAGGCAGCAGUGGGGAAUAUUGCACAAUGGGCGAAAGCCUGAUGCAGCGAGGCCGCGUGAGGGAUGACGGCCUUCGGGUUGUAAACCUCUUUCAGCAGGGACGAAGCGCAAGUGACGGUACCUGCAGAAGAAGCACCGGCUAACUACGUGCCAGCAGCCGCGGCCGAA